rnacentral:rRNA from 1 species
GUGAAAUUAGCGCUGUGGAACCACCCGAUCCCAUCCCGAACUCGGAAGUGAAACGCAGCCGCGCCGAUGGUAGUGUGGCUCAAGCCAUGCGAGAGUAGGUCAUCGC